CAUAAACCACCUUCUGCCAGGAGCUCGUAGCACUCAGCUGCUUCAAUGUGCUGUGUUCAUGCUGGAUGUGACUGUUGUUAAUACUCCAGGAGGCACAAAAUCAGAAUUACACUAGUGCUGCCAAAUGGGAAGGAGAGGAUCCAGAAUGCAAUCCAUUGCUGGAAACUGGAUGUGCCCCUCCAUUCACCUGAGGAACAUCAGCUCCAUUGCUGCAGCUCAGCCUC
rnacentral:lncRNA from 1 species